UAUAGGUAUAGGCAACUUUUUUUGUCACGUUCUAUAACUUUUUCUGGAGACUGGCUAUUAUCUUAUUACAAACCUGCUUUGCGAUGCCUCUAAAAUGGCCGCCGUUACCCACAAUGCACCAUUCCAUGACGUCUACGCCCGAGCUCUAUUAGACAAAAAAUACUACUUUGUUAAUUCUGUGACACUGAAAAUGUACUAGUAAGGCACACGGUGUGUUUUAUACAGUCUAUGGGCAGCUGAAGAGUCUGGCUCAUUUUAAAAUAAUUUUACCGUUAACUUGUUGAGCCAACGGUCACGGUAGCGAUUUUUUUUAAAAUUAAUGUUAACGCCUUAAUGCGUUUUCAGAAGUUUCUCAGAGGGAAAAUGUAAAAGCGGAUUAUUAAAGAGAAGUCCUGACUGCUUUUUCACCGUGUUUUUCACUGUUUUACAUGCUUCCAGAAAUAAUCCGGUGAAAUAAUAUGGUGAGCUAUUGUUGCUGUUGCUUCUGAACUACAAAAUGAUUUUUAAAUUAAUUAUUAUGAUUAUUGAAUGAGACUGUACUUUAUAAAUGUAAUGUUUUAACUCUAGAUGUUUGUUUGUGUGAAUGCUGUGUGUGCAUUGAGUCCUGCGCGAGCGGAGAGUAGAGUUGCCAUGGAAACGGGGCGUCAACACAAAAACCGUUACUGGCAAACAGUAAUCUCCGUCUCUCGCUGCGGUUUACACUGUUUUAGGAGGACAGAAAGAAACUCUACAGAACAGAAGUGAAGCUCUGAGAUUUCAACAUUUCUGAAGGGAGAUACUGACUUAGAAAUACAGGUGACCUGAAGAAGCUCAUGAAAUACAUUAAUAUGCCUUUUUUCCGAAUAUAUGUCACCAAUUUUAAGAAGUCCCUGACAUCAUAACCUUGUUUCCUUCUAAUGAACCUGGAACUGCAGAGUAAAUAUUGUUGACUCUGUGUCAGAUUGCUUGUUUUGUUCCUGGACUCUUCAGUGAUGACGAUCAGAGUCUGAGUGAACCUGCUGUCAGACAGGUUGGCCUGACUGACGAUGCCAUCGUCCAUCACGAUGCUGCGCCGGCAAACAGCGUCAUCAGCUCCAGUAUCUCGCCCGUGCAUCUGUUGUCAUGCGACAGAGAAGUCACGUCCUAUAGACAGUUGUGAACGUGCUGACAGCUGGUUGCCCAGGCUAUGGAUUAAAGAUAAUACUGUUGUAAGUAGUGUUCAUUUUCUCCUACAUACCGAUCAUUUAGCUUCAUUAGACCUCAAUGUAUCACCAGGAGCCACCGGUAUUGAUUUGGUUUUGGGUUUUUUUUUUUUUU